rnacentral:rRNA from 1 species
CAAUAGCGUAUAUUAAAGUUGUUGCGGUUAAAAAGCUCGUAGUUGGAUCUCGGCAGGUAGGGGGCGGUUCGUUUCUGACGGCACUGCCCCAUUUACCUGUGUUUUUGACGGAGGUUUCAAGGUGGCUUUAAACGGCUGUCUUGGUACGCCGUCAGGUUUACUUUGAAAAAAUUAGAGUGCUCAAAGCAGGCUACAAAGCUUGAAUAUUUGUGCAUGGAAUAAUAGAAUAGGACUUUGGUUCUAUUUUGUUGGUUUCUAGGACCGAAGUAAUGAUUAAUAGGGACAGUUGGGGGCAUUAGUAUUUAAUUGUCAGAGGUGAAAUUCUUGGAUUUAUGAAAGACUAACUACUGCGAAAGCAUUUGCCAAGGAUGUUUUCAUUGAUCAAGAACGAAAGUUAGGGGAUCGAAGACGAUCAGAUACCAU